rnacentral:rRNA from 1 species
CUGAGAGGUGGUGCAUGGCCGUCGUUCAGUUCGUACUGUGAAGCAUCCUGUUAAGUCAGGCAACGAGCGAGACCCACGUCCACAGUUGCCAGCAUACCCUCCGGGGUGAUGGGUACACUGUGGAGACGCCGCUGCUAAAGCGGAGGAAGGAGUGGGCAACGGUAGGUCAGUAUGCCCCGAAUCUCCCGGGCUACACGCGGGCUACAAUGGUUGGUACAAUGGGCAUCUACCCCGAAAGGGGAAGGAAAUCUCUUAAAGCCAAUCCGUAGUUCGGAUUGAGGGCUGCAACUCGCCCUCAUGAAGCUGGAAUCCGUAGUAAUCGCGUUUCAACAGAACGCGGUGAAUACGUCCCUGCUCCUU